CCUACGGGUGGCAGCAGUGAGGAAUAUUGGUCAAUGGACGAGAGUCUGAACCAGCCAAGUAGCGUGCGGGAUGACGGCCCUACGGGUCGUAAACUGCUUUUACACGGGGAUAACACGUUCCACGUGUGGGGGUCUGCAUGUACCGUACGAAUAAGGACCGGCUAACUCCGUGCCAGCAGCCGCGGUAAUACGGAGGGCCCGAGCGUUAUCCGGAUUUAUUGGGCUUAAGGGGAGCGUAGGCGGGCGUUAAAGUCAGCUGUAAAAUCGCGCGGCUAAACGUCGCAUUGCAGUUGAAACUGGACGCCUUGAGUUCACAACAGGCAGGCGGAAUUCGUGGUGUAGCGGUGAAAUGCUUAGAUAUCACGAGGAACCCCGAUUGCGAAGGCAGCCUGCCGGGGUGCGACUGACGCUGAGGCUCGAAGGUGCGGGUAUCAAACAGGAUUAGAUACCCCGGUAGUC
rnacentral:rRNA from 1 species